GAUGAACGCUCGCUACAGGCUUAACACAUGCAAGUCGAGGGGCAGCAUGGUCUUAGCUUUCUCAGGCCGAUGGCGACCGGCGCACGGGUGAGUAACACGUAUCCAACCUGCCGUCUACUCUUGGACAGCCUUCUGAAAGGAAGAUUAAUACAAGAUGGCAUCAUGAGUCCGCAUGUUCACAUUAUUAAAGGUAUUCCGGUAGACGGUGGGGAUGCGUUCCAUUAGAUAGUAGGCGGGGUAACGGCCCACCUAGUCUUCGAUGGAUAGGGGUUCUGAGAGGAAGGUCCACCACAUUGGAACUGAGACACGGUCCAAACUCCUACGGGAGGCAGCAGUGAGGAAUAUUGGUCAAUGGGCGAGAGCCUGAACAAGCCAAGUAGCGUGAAGGACGACUGCCCUAUGGGUUGUAAACUUCUUUUAUCAAGGAAUAAAGUCGGGUAUGGAUACCCGUUUGCAUGUACUUUAUGAAUAAGGAUCGGCUAACUCCGUG
rnacentral:rRNA from 1 species